AGAGUUUGAUCCUGGCUCAGGAUGAACCUUGGCGGUGUGCCUAAUACAUGCAAGUCGAACGGUGACGAUUUUGUAGCAAUACGAAUGAAAUCAUAGUGGCGAACGGGUGAGUAACGCGUUGGUGAUCUGCCUCGAAGUGUGGAAUAACUUCCCGAAAGGGUAGCUAAUACCGCAUAGUCUCUCAAGGUUUAGAAAAUUGAGAGUAAAGGAUUUAUUCGCUUCGAGAGGAGCCUGCGUCCCAUCAGCUAGUUGGUAGGGUAAUAGCCUACCAAGGCAAUGACGGGUAGGGGACCUGAGAGGGUGCCCCCCCACAAUGGAACUGAAACACGGUCCAUACACCUACGGGUGGCAGCAGUAGGGAAUAUUAGAAAUGGGCGAAAGCCUGAUCUAGCAACACCGCGUGUGCGAUGAAGGCCUUCGGGUUGUAAAGCACUUUUUGGAGGGAAUAGGAAGGAAGGUACCUCCAGAAUAAGUCUCGGCUAACUACGUGCCAGCAGCCGCGGUAACACGUAGGAGGCAAACGUUAUCCGGAUUCACUGGGCGUAAAGCGCGUGUAGGUGGUUCUGUAAGUAGGGCGUGAAAGCUCCCGGCUCAACUGGGAGAGGCCGUACUAAACUGCAGAGCUAGAGGAUGGUAGAGGGAGGUGGAAUUCCAGGUGUAGUGGUGAAAUGCGCAGAUAUCUGGAGGAACACCAGUGGCGAAGGCGGCCUCCUGGACCAUUCCUGACACUCAGACGCGAAAGCUAGGGUAGCAAACGAAAUGAGCGACUCCGGUAGUCCUAGCCGUAAACGAUGCGGACUAGGGCGUCGGGCGGUUUAAUCACCGUCGGUGUCCAAGCUAACGCGAUAAGUUUGCCGCCUGAGGACUACGGCCGCAAGGCUAAAACUCAAAGGAAUUGACGGGUCCCCGCACAAGCAGCGGAGCGUGUGGUUUAAUUCGAUGCUCCGCGAAGAACCUUACCUGGGUUUGACAUAACAGUGGUAGAGAAGUGAAAACGGAUCGACCCUUCGGGGAGCUGUUACAGGUGUUGCAUGCCUGUCGUCAGCUCGUGUCGUGAGAUGUUCGGUUAAGUCCGCUAACGAGCGCAACCCGCGCUGUGUGUUACAAGUGUCACACAGUACCGCCGGUAUUAAGUCGGAGGAAGGUGCGGAUGACGUCAAGUCAGCAUGACCUUUAUAUCCAGGGCUACACACACGCUACAAUGGUCAGAACAAUAGGUUGCCAAGCCGCAAGGCGGAGCCAAUCCUCCAAAUCUGGCCUCAGUUCAGAUUGCAGGCUGCAACUCGCCUGCAUGAAGUCGGAGUUGCUAGUAACCGCAGGUCAGCAUACUGCGGUGAAUACGUUCCCGGG
rnacentral:rRNA from 1 species